GAGCCCGCACUUGAUUAGUUUGUUGGGAGGGUAAUGGCCUACCAAGACUAUGAUCAAUAGCUGAUUUGAGAGGAUGAUCAGCCACAUUGGGACUGAGACACGGCCCAAACUCCUACGGGAGGCAGCAGUGGGGAAUCUUGCACAAUGGAGGAAACUCUGAUGCAGCGAUGCCGCGUGAGUGAAGAAGGCCUUUGGGUUGUAAAGCUCUUUCGUCGGGGAAGAGAAUGACUGUACCCGAAUAAGAAGGUCCGGCUAACUUCGUGCCAGCAGCCGCGGUAAUACGAAGGGACCUAGCGUAGUUCGGAAUUACUGGGCUUAAAGAGUUCGUAGGUGGUUGAAAAAGUUGGUGGUGAAAUCCCAGAGCUUAACUCUGGAACUGCCAUCAAAACUUUUCAGCUAGAGUAUGAUA
rnacentral:rRNA from 1 species